GGCUGGAUAGCUCAGUUGGUAGAGCAGAGGACUGAAAAUCCUUGUGUCGGUGGUUCAAUUCCGCCUCCAGCCAC
rnacentral:tRNA from 1 species